UCCGAACCAGUUUUAGCGGUGGCGCUCCACUCGCCAUGGUUCGUGGGUGAGGGCGGAGCUAGUGACGUCACGGGGGUGGCCCCUGGUGGCUACUGCCGUGACGGUACGGUCUCUCUUCUCCUUGGCACAGCGCCCGGCAAGCAAGGAACGCAGUGCACUGAACCCCCUGGAGGUGGUCGUCGUUCUGCAGGCCUUUGUUCUCGCCGGCCUAUACAGGUGCCAGACUGCUUCUUCUGCGGUGACAGCUGUAAGGAACACGCUGACCUCUGUGGGAGCGGGUAUGAGCACGAUAUUACCGGUGUUCGGAACAACCCGGCUCACACAUGUGCCAGUUACAAGCGGGCGCCAGCUCAUCUCCAAUGAAGCCAAUUGUGUACGGUAACCUUUGUUUCCUUGGCGGGUGACCUGUGCAUAUACAGCAAGAAAGCUACAUUUAUUUCGGUGACGCAUAUUCAUCGGGAUUAGCGCCAACUGUUACAGCUCUUCGAGACGCACCAUGCUGUCGCGCAAGAGCUUCGCGGCAUCUGCAGGUUUGUGAUGGCUGGAGUGGAGAGUUUGAUCUGAUUGGGUGGUGGCGCAAACCACGAAAUUCAUUGGCCCAGAAUGAAAGCUGCAGAUAUGUGCUAGACAGCGAGCGCAAACAAGCACCGGAUAUAGUACACAACAGAGGCGGCUCGGGGUGGCUGGUGAUGCACGUGAACGUGGAUCGUCUACCAUCCUCUCUUGGAGCUCGAGCUGCCGAUGAAUGAGUAGUGGACGAGCGUAAGCGAGACAACAUGGAUUCUGACGUCGUCAUCAACUACGUGCUAUCCAGCUGUAGGCGAUGUUCUGAACCCCGGUGGUUCCUCGAGUCAUGCUCUGGGAAUAUUUUCAAGACCAAUGUGUACGUGCUGCCCGGCAGAUGCCACGGCCACUCUGAUACUGGCGGUGGCUUCCUUGCCGAGCCGACUUGUGGCGGCAACGUGGAGAGAAUGGGAGGGCGAAACGCAGGGAUAAAAGAAAAGACAGAAAGGCCCAUGGCACACACGUCCCGCUCGCGGACAUGAAAGUCAGGCAACAUCGAAAAACAAGAAAUAGGAGAAUAACUCAAGAAGAAAGAAAGACGGACAAUGAGCAGGUGUACUGAAUCCAAUCACACGAAAUGAUUCCCAGUGCUUCAGUGGGCACCCUCGAUUGGCGAACAAUAGCAACUAUCCAGGUGAUUUCAAAGCCAUAGAGGCAUACGGUAAAGACAAAGGAUAGUUGUCACUGUAUAUUAAAAUGUGU